rnacentral:rRNA from 1 species
UUUAUUGGAGAGUUUGAUCCUGGCUCAGGAUGAACGCUGGCGGCGUGCCUAAUACAUGCAAGUCGAGCGAAUGNAUUAAGAGCUUGCUCUUAUGAAGUUAGCGGCGGACGGGUGAGUAACACGUGGGUAACCUGCCCAUAAGACUGGGAUAACUCCGGGAAACCGGGGCUAAUACCGGAUAACAUUUUGAACCGCAUGGUUCGAAAUUGAAAGGCGGCUUCGGCUGUCACUUAUGGAUGGACCCGCGUCGCAUUAGCUAGUU